rnacentral:rRNA from 1 species
GACGAACGCUGGCGGCGUGCCUAAUACAUGCAAGUAGAACGCUGAAGAGAGGAGCUUGCUCUUCUUGGAUGAGUUGCGAACGGGUGAGUAACGCGUAGGUAACCUGCCUUGUAGCGGGGGACAACUAUUGGAAACGAUAGCUAAUACCGCAUAACAAUGGAUGACCCAUGUCAUUUAUUUGAAAGGGGCAAAUGCUCCACUACAAGAUGGACCUGCGUUGUAUUAGCUAGUAGGUGAGGUAACGGCUCACCUAGGCGACGAUACAUAGCCGACCUGAGAGGGUGAUCGGCCACACUGGGACUGAGACACGGCCCAGACUCCUACGGGAGGCAGCAGUAGGGAAUCUUCGGCAAUGGGGGCAACCCUGACCGAGCAACGCCGCAUGAGUGAAGAAGGUUUUCGGAUCGUAAAGCUCUGUUGUAAGUCAAGAACGAGUGUGAGAGUGGAAAGUUCACACUGUGACGGUAGCUUACCAGAAAGGGACGGCUAACUACGUG